AGUAGCUGCUCAACCCUGCCUGAACUUUCCUGUAAACACUGUGCUCUGACAGACGGCAUCCCUGCUGGGUGGAUCAGCAACUCCUGGAGGGAAUGGCACUUCUUGUUUCUAAUUACCAAGGGGAAAGGUGACUUAAAGUAGCUGUUUGGCAAGCCGGUGCAAGAAGCUGGCUUGGGAGAGGCUGAAGGAGAGAGCUCGGAGGGGGUAGAAGAGGCGCGUGUGUGCUAGAUUUGUUUUCUGAAUGAAACGCCUGCCGGUGCAGGAACAAAAUACAGCUUCUCCUUCCACACUCUGCGGGUAGAGUUCCUGGAGACAGCUCCACAUUGGGCAUGGCUCAGAAAGCUCAGUGCUAGGAACGUCCUCCAGCUCCUCGCCUUUAAACAACUGACAGAAGAAAGCCAGGUCUGACCCGUUCAAAGACAGACAGACAAAUGGCACUUGGGCAUGGUGCUUGCUGAUGACAACGCGUUUGAUUUCUGACAAAGCCUUUCGCCAGCCACGCUGCCCCCGGAGGGGAGUUCUAAGGAAAACUCAAACCUGCCUCAAGUAGAGCUGUGGGGUGAAGGCAUGGCAUCCUUGGGACAGGCUCUCACCUGGUUCCUGUGCGCUCACCUACUGCUUAUCUGGCCCGGAGGGCGCACGGCGGAAACCCCCUACCCCCGGCUACGCCUGUCACAUAAAGAACUCUUGGAUCUGAACAGAACGUCAAUAUUUCACAGCCCUUUUGGAUUUCUGGAUCUCCACGUAAUGCUGCUGGAUGAAUAUCAAGAACGGCUCUUUGUGGGAGGCAGGGACCUUGUGUAUUCCCUGAGCUUGGAGCGAAUCAGUGACGGCUAUAGAGAGAUACAUUGGCCUACUAUGGCAGUAAAAAUGGAAGAAUGCAUAAUGAAAGGAAAAGAUGCAAACAAAUGCGCAAACUAUGUUCGGGUUUUGCAUCACUACAACAGGACACAUCUUCUCACCUGUGGUACUGGAGCUUUUGACCCACUUUGCACCUUCAUCAGAGUUGGGAACCAUUUGGAGGAUCCUCUGUUUCACCUGGAAUCACACAGAUCUGAGAGAGGAAGAGGUCGAUGUCCUUUUGACCCCAGCUCUUCCUUCGUCUCCACACUAAUUGGAAGUGAAUUGUUCACUGGCCUCUACAGUGACUACUGGGGCCGAGACGCUGCCAUCUUCCGUAGCCCUGGCCGGCUGCCGCAUCUCCGCACUGAGCACGACGACGAGCGCCUGCUGAAAGAACCAAAGUUUGUAGGUUCGUAUAUGAUUCCUGACAAUGAAGACCACGAUGACAACAAGCUGUAUUUCUUUUUUACCGAGAAGGCUCUGGAGGCAGAGAACAAUGCCCACACCAUCUACACCAGAGUGGGGAGGCUAUGUGUGAAUGAUAUGGGAGGGCAGAGAAUACUUGUGAAUAAGUGGAGCACAUUCCUCAAGGCAAGGCUGGUUUGCUCAGUACCAGGAGUGAAUGGCAUUGAUACUUACUUUGAUGACUUAGAGGAUAUUUUCCUGCUACAUACCAGAGACCAUAAGAACCCAGUGAUAUUUGGACUCUUUAACACAACCAGUAAUAUAUUUAGAGGGCAUGCUAUAUGUGUAUACCAUAUGUCUAGCAUUCGAGCAGCUUUUAACGGCCCAUAUGCACACAAGGAAGGCCCUGAAUACCACUGGUCACUCUAUGAAGGAAAAGUCCCGUAUCCAAGGCCUGGCUCUUGUGCCAGCAAAGUGAAUGGAGGGAGAUAUGGAACUACCAAAGACUACCCUGAUGAUGCCAUUCGAUUUGCAAGAACUCAUCCACUCAUGUACCAGCCCAUAAAACCUGCCCACAAAAAACCAAUACUGGUAAAAACAGAUGGAAAAUACAACUUGAAGCAAAUAGCAGUGGAUCGAGUAGAAGCUGAGGACGGCCAGUAUGAUGUUUUAUUUAUUGGGACAGAUACUGGAAUUGUGCUUAAAGUUAUCACAAUUUACAACCAAGAGACUGAAUCAAUGGAAGAAGUAAUUCUAGAAGAACUUCAAAUAUUUAAGGAUCCAGUUCCCAUUAUUUCUAUGGAGAUAUCUUCAAAGAGACAACAGCUGUAUGUUGGAUCUGCUUCUGAUGUGGCUCAAGUCAGAUUCCAUCACUGUGACAUGUAUGGAAGUGCCUGUGCUGACUGCUGUCUGGCUCGAGAUCCUUACUGUGCAUGGGAUGGCAUAUCUUGUUCCCGGUACUACCCAACAGGCACACAUGCAAAAAGGCGUUUCCGCAGACAAGAUGUGCGGCAUGGAAAUGCAGCUCAACAAUGCUUUGGACAGCAGUUUGUUGGAGAUGCAUUGGAUAAGACUGAAGAGCGAUUGGCUUAUGGCAUAGAAAACAACAGUACUUUGCUGGAAUGUACCCCACGAUCUUUACAAGCAAAAGUCAUCUGGUUUGUACAGAAAGGACGUGAGUCAAGAAAAGAAGAGGUUAAGACAGAUGAUAGAGUGGUUAAAAUGGACCUGGGUUUGCUCUUUCUAAGAAUACGCAAAUCUGAUGCUGGGACCUAUUUUUGCCAGACAGUAGAGCAUAGCUUUGUCCAUACUAUCCGUAAAAUCACCCUGGAAGUAGUGGAAGAGGAGCGAGUGGAGGAGAUGUUUAAUAAGGACUAUGAGGAGGACGGGCCACACCGGAUGCCGUGUCCUGCCCACAGUAGCAGCCCGCAAGGAACAAAACCAUGGUACAAAGAAUUCUUGCAGCUGAUCGGUUAUAGCAACUUCCAGAGGGUGGAGGAGUACUGUGAGAAAGUAUGGUGCUCAGAUAAGAAGAGGAAAAAGCUCAAAAUGUCACCUUCGAAGUGGAAGUAUGCCAACCCACAGGAGAAGAAGCUGCGCUCCAGAGCCGAGCACUAUCGCCUGCCCAGGCAUGUGCUGGAUUCCUGAUGGGGCAAAACCAACUGCCUGCUCUGGGGAAAAAAAAAUACAAUGAAAACUUAAACAACAACAACAACAGGAAAAUAACUACAAAGCAGCCAACUUCUUUCCAUUGCUUUCAUACAGAAAUGACUGUAAAGUUGUUGCGAUAAGUUAUUCUGCAAACUCAUCUGACUUGAGGAAACUCUCCGAAUAUUAACUACUUUCUAAACAAAUUCAUAAUUGAAUAGCUUCAUCUUACAUUUAUCAUGAACAGUGGCAUAGCUGUAGUUUUGUGUAUGAGGCAAACAAUUGCUGCAUUUGAUUCAGGCUUAUUUAAUCGAGUAUGUUUAUUUUAUGUUGAGGAUAUCUAUGGAUUUGGGCUUUUAUUUUAAGUUGAAUGUUUUCUGUUUGUGCUUACUCUAUAUUGAUAUAUUUUUGCACAUAUUGACUGUGGUAUUAUUUUCACUGGUUGUAAGACAUGAUACUUAUCACAUCAUGUGCUGACAAGCUGCAGGGAACACAACAAAGUGUUUCUUUGAGCAUACAUGGCUCUGUAACUCCGUGAUACAGAAUUUGUCUGUACUAUACUGUACAAUUUGUAUUUUGCUCGAGUUAGAUGGAAGAAAAAUAAAUAUUCAUGGAACCAUUAAAUGCUUCCAGAAGACUACUUUCUGUUUUUGCUAACUGAGUUCAGGUUGCACACGUCAAACAAAUGUGAAUAUAUAGAAUGCCAAAUACACAUUUACUUUAAGAAUAUAGGAAAGAGUUUCAUUUGUCUUUUCUAAGUAGGAAAAAGACCCUUACUCUCCUUACUUAGCAGUGGUUGCAUUUUCUUACACCAUAUCAUAGUUUCAGAAUCUGCAGCCAGAAAUGCCUCUCAUAGCUUCAUCAUCCAGAUAAAAGAUGAAAAACAAAUGCUUUUCCAAUAGUAACUAUCUGAAUGUUGAUAGUUUUAGGAGGAAGAUGAGGAGGAGGAAGAAGAGGGUGGUUUUCCAAGGCUUCAAGUUCUGUUUUAAUGAAUCUGAAGAACCAUGUGCUCUACUGUUUUUCUAAGACCCUGGGGAGACAGUUUAAAUAAUUUUUAAGUGAAUUUCUAUGUGAGAGUUUUUGUGGGGUUUUUUUUGGGGGGGCAACUUUAAUGGUAUUACUAUUUAGAGUACAUUUUGAGAUACCAAAACAGUUUGCAAGGAAAUACAGUAUGUAAUUUUGGGUGUUAAUUUGAGGGGUUUUUAUGUUAUAAUAUCAUACAAUAUCUAAAUCCUCAAGGAUUUAAUCAUUCAGUUAAUAACUCUUGGUCAGAAUGAACAAUAUUUUCCUUCUACAAUAUGAAAUCUAUAUUUGGUGAUCCUAUGCUUCCUAACAAGACUAUGUAACAAUGGGAAUAUGGCCAACAGAAACUAUUCUUAAAUUAUUCUUUAAAAGUGAAUUUGCUGUACCAUUUUUAGUCUAUCAGAAGUGGUAUUUACAGAUACAUUCUUGGUAACAAUCUGUAAUUUAACUUGGAGUGUAUUUUUAAAUGUGAGAAUGUCUCACUUAUCUAAUUAAUUAAUUCCGCUUAAAGAGGACUCACCUCGGGAUACUGUGAAUUCAUUUAUUCUGGUUUGUCAUGUCUAUAUGUAGAGUAGCAGUCAAAGCAUUUCUAAACAGGGGAGUAAGAUUGUGAUUCACUUGGCCAUAUUGUAAUACAGCUCACUGCCAGAAGAAGUCUACCACAGAAUGUCUUCAGAGAAUCCACUAAUAAGACACUCAAGUGAGGAAAUUAUUAUUGGUAUGUUACAUAUCGCUUUACCUUUCAAAUUUUAUUCUACCUUUCCUCCUUAAAAUGACUGAGUUUUUAUUUUCAUUUACAUCUAUACACAUAAUACUACUCUCGUAUUGAUAGGUAAGGAUGUUUUAGUUCUCUCAGGCUAAUUAAACAGAAGCCAAAUUUAUAUGUGCAAAGUCAGGGAGUAUCCUCCUUGAGAAAGGGUGAAGAUAGUUUUUCCUCUUAUGUCUUUCUGAUGGCAGAUCGCUAUGAUAGAUCCCCAGCUGAGAUUCAUAUCAUGAGUACAAACACUAUUCACUUUUGAACUUUCAUGUUUGAGAUGACUUUUUUUUAAUAAAUCUGACCUCAUGAAGUGCUUAGCUACAUAUAAGAUCUUUAUAUAGACUUAUAUAUGACUCCAAUAAAAGAUAAUAAUAUGAGACCUUUGGAAAGCCAAACCUGAUAGAAAAUUGCAUUGAUGAUAGCCUACUUUAAGUGAAAUAAGCAUUUAUUUAAAAGGAGCAAGUUUUGUUAUUCUGCUUUUAUUACUCUUCAUUGUUUAUGUUAUUAGCUAUGUAAUAGUGUCAACCUAAUACAUAAAACUACCUUCCCAUCAUAUGAGCUUUGUGGAGGACAAACAAAAAUUCAGAAAUCACGGUGUACUGAGGAGGACUUGCCUAGACUACA